AGAGUUUGAUCCUGGCUCAGGAUGAACGCUAGCGGCAGGCUUAAUACAUGCAAGUCGUGGGGCAGCAUGACUGUAGCAAUACAGUUGAUGGCGACCGGCAAACGGGUGCGGAACACGUACACAACCUUCCUUUAAGUGGGGAAUAGCCCAGAGAAAUUUGGAUUAAUACCCCGUAACAUAAUGAAGUGGCAUCACUUUAUUAUUAUAGCUCCGGCGCUUGAAGAUGGGUGUGCGGCUGAUUAGAUAGUUGGCGGGGUAACGGCCCACCAAGUCGACGAUCAGUAACUGGUGUGAGAGCACGACCAGUCACACGGGCACUGAGAAACGGUCCAGACUCCUACGGGAGGCAGCAGUUAGGAAUAUUCCACAAUGGGGGCAACCCUGAUGGAGCAACGCCGCGUGGAGGAUGAAGGCCUUCGGGUUGUAAACUUCUUUUCUAUGCGAAGAAUAUGACGGUAACAUAGGAAUAAGGGUCUGCUAACUACGUGCCAGCAGCCGCGGUCAUACGUAGGACCCAAGCGUUAUCCGGAUUGACUGGGCGUAAAGAGUUGCGUAGGUGGUUUGUUAAGCGAAUGGUGAAAUCUUGUGGCUCAACCAUAAGGCUAUUAUUCGAACUGGCAAACUCGAGAAUGGGAGAGGUAUCUAGAAUUCCUCAUGUAGGGGUAAUAUCCGUAGAUAUGAGGAGGAAUA
rnacentral:rRNA from 1 species